GAGAGUUAUGACACAGCAGUUAAACCUUCAUGCGAGUGCAUGUAUAUUAUUGUUAAAUCCAACUACAAAAUGCUCAUCUGCCGUAUAUGUUUAUGAAUUUAUUUAACAGAAAUUAAAUGCCUGUUAUUUUUAAGGUCCUGUGCUUAUACUGUUGUGACAUACAGAAGAAGGUGGCAUGAUUCUUUCCAGGAGACGUAGAGCUUCAGCAGGGAAAUGUAAUGUUCAUAAACUAUUGUGAGUUGAUUUAGGAGAAUUGGAUCCUAUGUAUUAAUAUUUUGGAGAAGCUAGAGAUCAGAUUUCACUAAAAUUCAAUUCGGUUCAAUUCAGUUAAUGCUCCCCUACUACUGUCAGCAGACUACUAACUUUGCUCAGAAUUGUGCAAGGCUUCUAACGGAAUAAC
rnacentral:lncRNA from 1 species